rnacentral:rRNA from 1 species
GAUGAACGCUGGCGGCGUGCUUAACACAUGCAAGUCGAGCGAAGCACUCUGAUUACUUCGGUUUGAAGAGUGACUGAGCGGCGGACGGGUGAGUAACGCGUGGGUAACCUGCCUCACACAGGGGGAUAACAGUUAGAAAUGACUGCUAAUACCGCAUAAGACCACAGCACCGCAUGGUGCAGGGGUAAAAACUCCGGUGGUGUGAGAUGGACCCGCGUCUGAUUAGCUAGUUGGUGAGGGAACGGCUCACCAAGGCGACGAUCAGUAGCCGACCUGAGAGGGUGACCGGCCACAUUGGGACUGAGACACGGCCCAAACUCCUACGGGGGGCAGCAGUGGGGAAUAUUGCACAAUGGGCGAAAGCCUGAUGCAGCGACGCCGCGUGAAGGAUGAAGUAUUUCGGUAUGUAAACUUCUAUCAGCAGGGAAGAAAAUGACGGUACCUGACUAAGAAGCCCCGGCUAACUACGUGCCAGCCGCCGCCGUAAAAC